GACGAACGCUGGCGGCGUGCUUAACACAUGCAAGUCGAACGAAGUGGCGAACGGGUGAGUAAUACGUGGGUAUCCUGCCCUCAUUUGUGGGUUAAGCCUUGGAAACGGGGUUUAAUCCCCAAUAAAGUGGGAUGGUCUCGCGGCGGAUCAGCUUGUUGGUGGGGUCAUGGCCGACCAAGGCGGUGACGGGUAGCCGGCCUGAUCGGGUGAUCGGCGACAUUGGGACUGAGAUACGGCCCAGACUCCUACGGGAGGAAGAAGUGGGGGAUAUUGCACAAUGGGAGAAAGCCUGAUGCAGCGACGCCGCGUGGGGGAUGCAGGCUUUCGGGUUGUAAACGUCUUUCGCUAGCGAACGGGUAGGUGGAGAAGAAGCGCCGGCUAACUACGUGCCAGCAGCCGCGGUAAUAC
rnacentral:rRNA from 1 species